CCUACGGGAGGCUGCAGUGGGGAAUAUUGCACAAUGGGCGCAAGCCUGAUGCAGCCAUGCCGCGUGUGUGAAGAAGGCCUUCGGGUCGUAAAGCACUUUCAGCGGGGAGGAAGGCGGUGAGGUUAAUAACCUCAUCGAUUGACGUUACCCGCAGAAGAAGCACCGGCUAACUCCGUGCCAGCAGCCGCGGUAAUACGGAGGGUGCAAGCGUUAAUCGGAAUUACUGGGCGUAAAGCGCACGCAGGCGGUCUGUCAAGUCGGAUGUGAAAUCCCCGGGCUCAACCUGGGAACUGCAUUCGAAACUGGCAGGCUAGAGUCUUGUAGAGGGGGGUAGAAUUCCAGGUGUAGCGGUGAAAUGCGUAGAGAUCUGGAGGAAUACCGGUGGCGAAGGCGGCCCCCUGGACAAAGACUGACGCUCAGGUGCGAAAGCGUGGGGAGCAAACAGGAUUAGAUACCCCGGUAGUC
rnacentral:rRNA from 1 species